UGUUGGGUUAAGUCCCGCAACGAGCGCACCCCUUAUCCUUUGUUGCCAUCGGUCCGGCGGGGAACUCAAAGGAGACCCCCAGUGAUAACCUGGAGGAAGGUGGGGAUGACGUCAAGUCAUCAUGGCCCUUACGACCAGGGCUACACACGUGUUACAAUGGCGCAUACAAAGAGAAGCGACCUCGCGAGAGCAAGCGGACCUCAUAAAGUGUGUUGUAGUCCGGAUUGGAGUCUGCAACUCGACUCCAUGAAGUCGGAAUCGUUAGUAAUCGUGGAUCAGAAUGCCACGGUGAAUACGUUCCCGGGCCUUGUACACACCGCCCGUCAC
rnacentral:rRNA from 1 species